rnacentral:rRNA from 1 species
AAUGCAUCGGAACGUGCCUAGUAGUGGGGGAUAACGCGUCGAAAGAUGUGCUAAUACCGCAUAAGCACUAAGGUGGAAAGCGGGGGAUCGCAAGACCUCGCGCUAUUAGAGCGGCCGAUGCCCGAUUAGCUAGUUGGUGAGGUAAUGGCCCACCAAGGCAACGAUCGGUAGCUGGUCUGAGAGGAUGAUCAGCCACACUGGGACUGAGACACGGCCCAG